GGGGGGGGGCAAGCGUUGUUCGGAAUUACUGGGCGUAAAGGGCGCGCAGGCGGCCCGGCCAGUCCUACGUGAAAUCCCACAGCUCAACUGUGGAACUGCGUGGGAUACUGCCAGGCUUGAGUCCGGGAGAGGAGAGUGGAAUUCCCAGUGUAGCGGUGAAAUGCGUAGAUAUUGGGAGGAACACCGGUGGCGAAGGCGGCUCUCUGGACCGGCACUGACGCUGAGGCGCGAAAGCUAGGGGAGCAAACGGGAUUAGAUACCCCGGUAGUCCUAGCCCUAAACGAUGAGCACUUUGUGUGGCGGGUAUCGACCCCUGCCGUGCAGAAGCUAACGCAUUAAGUGCUCCGCCUGGGGAGUACGGUCGCAAGGCUG
rnacentral:rRNA from 1 species